GGUCACAACUUUAGUUCUUGAGGUAAUAUAAUUCUUCCUGUUGCCAUGAUGUUCUCUAGAAUGAGGAUACCACCAUUAGAACUUAGCUUUUAACCACCUACUGACUACGCAAAGUGUGAGUUUUUAUAGAGGAGUAAAAGGUAAUAUACAUUGAGAUGGCCCAUUGCAUGCAAAGUAUCUGGAAUGUUCUGGUUGAGGGAAAAUCUUUGGAUGAUUGUUACGAGGCAUAUGGUUUUGAAACUGGGAAUUUGAGACUACGGGGUAUAAAAAUUGGCUUCAUGUCUAAAUAGUUGGUCGGGAAUAAGAAAUCAAACAGAAGAAAAUGGUACUAUUCAUUCACUAACUGGUUUAAGGAUGCACUCUUUUGGAUGAUAAUUAUAGUAAUUUUUAAUUGAGAGUUAAAAGAUACUAGAAAGCUCAAGUAGGUUCCCACUGUCAAACCUGCAGACAACUAAUCUUCACUUUACAAUGUAGUCCAAUCGAGAAUGCCUAAGUGAACACCAAAGAAAAUGAAAAAUAAUUUUCUGUUGACCUUAGUAGUGGAAAUGAAACAUGGCACAACACAAACUAAGACUGGUGUGAAUUCUGCAUGGACCUCUAGAUUAGUGCACGUCCAUACCAUGAACGGUAAACUAGCAAAAUCGCAAAUGAACUCCCUUUUGGACACUUCAGCAUCACUUACAUUAACUCUGCUU
rnacentral:misc_RNA from 1 species